rnacentral:misc_RNA from 1 species
ACACCCUCAAGCACAGCUUGGUGUUGGGCGUCUGUCCCGCUUCGGCGCGGACUCGCCUCAAAACGAUUGGCAGCCACUUCAGCGGCUUUGAGCGCAGCAGAAUUGCGUCUCUCGUCGCGGCGGGUGGCAUCCAGUAAGCAACAUUUAUA